rnacentral:rRNA from 1 species
UACCCUGGGGAUAACAGGCUUAUCUCCCCCAAGAGUCCACAUCGACGGGGAGGUUUGGCACCUCGAUGUCGGCUCAUCACAUCCUGGGGCUGUAGUAGGUCCCAAGGGUUGGGCUGUUCGCCCAUUACAGUGGUACGCGAGCUGGGUUCAGAACGUCGUGAGACAGUUCGGUCCCUAUCCGUCGCAGGCGUAGGAAAUUUGAGAAG